UGAAGUACAUAUCCAGCGUAGACUUGCACAUUGGUGACUCUAAAGUCAGCAACACCAUCUAUAACAAUGUGACCAGUAUCAUAUUCUUGACCACCUUGCUCGGCAUAAAAAUUAGUUCGAUCAAGCAACAACCCGAGCUGCUCACCAGAGUUGAACCCCUCAGUACUUUUUUGAAAUCCGCCCUUGUGAUAUAUGCCUUUUAUAACUGACUUCAAUGAUACAGAGUUAUGCUUAAAAACAUCAUCAGUCUCUGGGAUAUCAUCCAUUUUAGAAAGUGCACCGAGUGCAUGAACAUCCAGCACCAGAAGAUCAUCUCCUGAAGAACCACCUUUGGAAGCUUGCUUG